AUGGCCACAUCACAUUGAAACACCAGUUCCCAUAUGAUCAGUGAAGUUAAACAACAUUGUGCCUGAUCAAUACCCAGAUGGGUGACUGCUUGCAAAUACCAGGUGCUGUUAG